rnacentral:ncRNA from 2 species
UCCGCUAAGUUCGGUGCCCGCGGGCACCAGCCGGUGGGGGCUUCGUCCGCUUUGCCGGGGAGAUGUCCUUUGCUUCUCAGAUGUAAAUGCACUUUAAGUUUGUUAUUCAACAGUGAAAAUGAGUCAUACAGAGGUUAAAUUAAAAAUACCUUUUGGAAAUAAAUUACUAGAUGCUGUUUGUUUGGUACCUAACAAGAGCUUAACAUAUGGAAUAAUUCUUACACAUGGAGCAUCAGGAGAUAUGAAUCUUCCUCAUUUGAUGUCACUGGCAUCCCAUCUUGCAUCUCAUGGGUUUUUCUGCCUGAGAUUUACCUGUAAAGGCCUUAAUAUUGUACAUAGAAUUAAGGCGUAUAAAUCAGUUUUGAAUUACCUGAAGACAUCAGGAGAAUACAAACUUGC